CUUGAAAACAACCUUUCAAAUACGGUUUUUAAGAAUCAUCCUUGUCUUUAGAUAUUUUCUCUCCUCUGAAAAUGCAAAUCGCACCUCAGCGGACACGUGACACCUUCUCAUAAGCUCAGUGCUUAUAUUCCUCUUUCAUCUUUCCAACUUCAAACUUUUAAUUCUAACCCGAUUCCAAACCUUUCCCUCAGCAACGGAAUCCACCAAACUCUCGCAUCAAUCUUCGUUUCUUUAGAGAGAGAGAGAGAGAAAGAGCACGCGGUGUCGGAAUCGUGUUCUCGGAUUGCACCGCUGGUUCGAUUUAUGGUCAUCGGAGAAUCGCCGAUCUCGCUGAGAGUUUCGAAUCGUACCGGUGACCGGAGGAGAUGGUGAAUUCCAUGGUGGAACGCGCCACGGGCGACAUGCUCAUAGGGCCUGAUUGGGCCAUGAACAUCAAGAUCUGCGACAUGCUCAAUCAUGACCCUGGUCCGUCUCAAAGACUCAAAGGAGUCGAACAAAUCGUCGCUCGGAGAGGAAAAUUAUGUGUCAUUUCGCCUUCUUCUGGGAUCUUCGUCGUCGAUGUGGCCGCAGUGCUGCCGCGGAUUUUUCCGAUUUGGCUGCCGGAAGAGUUCGAGCCGAUGGCCGUUCACAUCUUAAACAUCUUUGCUCUAUUUUGAAUAGCAUUUAGAUGAGGAGAUAUGAAAAUAAAUCUUCACAGGAUUUAAGAAAUUGCAUGGAGUUUCAAAGAAUCCAACAGAGACAAUUGCCAAUAAUUUGACAGAGUACAUGAAUAAGAAGGGUUUGCCAAAGGGAUUAGUUAUUGGGAGCUCCAGCAUUCUUGAGAUUGCUGGUCAAGGAGCACUUGUGCCAUUGUACCAGAGAUUACAAUCCAGCGUUAUUGCCAAGGACUCUGAAUCUUCAAAUUCCAAUAAAAUUAUUUGGGUCAUACGCCAGGAGAAGACAAAGCAGAAUUUUGAAAUGGCACUGGAAAGCAUAAGACAGUGUUUGCAGGUUGCUUUUGCAGGGGUGCAGGCCUAAAGGGGAGUUGCAACUGCCAUUGGCGAUUUGAGUGCAAGUUGCAACUCCCACUGGCGAUUUAGGGCAGAGAAAAUAGCCACUUCUAAUGGCGAUUUAAGGGCUAUAAAUACACGAAAUACUUCUCAACGUUGUUGCCUGUGUACUCAAAUUUCAGUUUCUCAACGCUGUUGCCUGUUUACUCAAACUUCAGUUUUUAAAAAUUGUACACGAUGAAUUCGGUUAUAACAGUGUUGUAUUUCAAUGGAAGGGUAUAUGAAGAUAA